UGGUUAGCAACAUUUGCAGACAGCCUCUCUCUCGCCGGUCUUCCUUCAGACUAUGGAGCGAGUCAGGGUUCCGCGGAUAAGCGUGGCAACGAUGAUGCGAAGUGUGAUGGAGUAGUUUUCCAAGCAUUUGUGGUAACUCUCAGGAAUGUGAGGUGAUGGGGCAGGACAUGAGAGCCAGAUGGGUGUCCUCACAGUUCUGGCCUCCUGCGUUGAUGCAGCAACAUGAUGUGUGAGCUGCAGCAGAUGAUGGCCUCUUGUGCCCAGACCUGAGCAGGGCUUGAGAAGCAAAGGUUUGUCUCCCACAAACCCCUCGAUGGCAGAAAAGAGGAGAUUCACUCGCCUGUGACAUCGGUGUGAGCCACAGCAGAUGGUCUUCUGAUCCCAGACCUGAGAAGCAAAGGUAACAAUGGAGCCAUGAGAGGGAUCUUCCACUGUAAGCACCAGCAGAGUGGAGCAGCUGUUGGGACGUGUCUACAGAGUUACUGUCACUUGACCCGAAAUGGAAGCAACAUCUAAAAUGACUUGAUGAAGCAGCACCAGUUUCAUCCUGUGUUCAACUGAACUUAAUAUCAAAUAAAUGUCAUUGCUGUGCUCA